rnacentral:rRNA from 1 species
UACACUCCUGCGGGAGGCAGCAGUGGGGAAUUUUGGACAAUGGGCGAAAGCCUGAUCCAGCAAUGCCGCGUGUGUGAAGAAGGCCUUCGGGUUGUAAAGCACUUUUGUCCGGAAAGAAAUCCUUGGCUCUAAUACAGUCGGGGGAUGAUGGUACCGGAAGAAUAAGCACCGGCUAACUACGUGCCAGCAGCCGCGGUAAUACGUAGGGUGCGAGCGUUAAUCGGAAUUACUGGGCGUAAAGCGUGCGCAGGCGGUUUGCUAAGACCGAUGUGAAAUCCCCGGGCUCAACCUGGGAACUGCAUUGGUGACUGGCAGGCUAGAGUAUGGCAGAGGGGGGUAGAAUUCCACGUGUAGCAGUGAAAUGCGUAGAGAUGUGGAGGAAUACCGAUGGCGAAGGCAGCCCCCUGGGCCAAUACUGACGCUCAUGCACGAAAGCGUGGGGAGCAAACAGGAUUAGAUACCCUGGUAGUCCCA